AUGGAAAAGCAGCCCCUUCCAGAAAUGCAGGAAAACGCCUUGAUUCGAAGUAUUGAGGAAGAAUACAGGAAAGCGUUCGUCUAUAUAAACAAAGGUCUAAACACGGAUGAAACCGGGUACAAGGAAGAAGCCCGCAACUAUUACAAGCAAGGCCAGGAGCAUUUGAUAAGGGGUCUAAGCGUCUCAUUAGAGGGACCUCAGUGCGUUGGUCCAGCUUGGGACGCUGCCAGACAAAUGCAAGUGAAGAUGAGGGAGACGCUGGAGAACGUCAAUACCAGACUAAAUAUCUUACAGCAGAGUAUGGGAGGCUCUGCUAUAAACCCUCCUGCUGUGGGUGCUUCUGCCCCAGUACCAACCGUUUACCCAUCACUGCCACCAAAAGAGAAAGAAAGACCUGAGAGGCCACCACUGCCCUUGUUACCACCAUUCCCUCCACAGCCAGUAAAUGGAGUCUCAUGUAUUGCAACAGACAGUGGAGCAGCACUCAACCCCUUUAUAGCAGGGGUUUCUGCCCCCCCAGCAUACACCCCCCAGGCCACAGAUGGACAUUACACAGUUUCCUAUGGGACAGAGUCUGGAGAACAUUCCAUAGUUGGGGAUGAGUUCUAUGCUAUGCCCACGCAGCCACCGCCAGUGCAGAGUCUGGGGGUAGAUGCAGAGGAACUUAUUCUUAUACCUAGAGGGGUGCAGAUUUUUUAUGUGACCCCAGAUGGACUAGUGAGUGCCCCCUCAUAUCCGGGGUAUCUGCGUAUUAUUAACUUUAUGGACACCAGCAGUGAAAUGGACCAGAGUCGCCCUCCUGCUUUCCUCCAGGUGUGUGACUGGCUAUAUCCCCUCAUGUCUAACCAAUCUCCGGUGCUACGCUCUAAUAAUGGGGUGUACAUGUUCCCAGACCUGAUGUCGCAGGAACCCGGCUCUUACGUGGGGGUGGUGCUUUCCGCUGAGCUUCCAGCCGCUGAUCUGGAGCUCUUUGAAGACCUAAUGAGACAGAUGUCUGACCUGAGAAUUCAGCCUAGUGAAGCAUCAGAUGAAGUCAUAGACCUGACCCAGACAAUUCAUGUCGUUGAAAUACCCGAACCGACACCAAAAGAGAAGGAAGACUAUCCUCCAUGGAGUGAGAAGGUUGCCCAGGGAAUUCUUCAAGGAGCUUCUUGGCUGAGUUGGGGUUUGGUAAAAGGAGCAGAGUUGACUGAAAAAGCCAUUCACAAAGGUGCUACCAAGUUAAGAGAGCACAUACAGCCUGACGAUAAACCACUAGAGGUCAAUCCCACAGUGGCCAAAGGUCUCCAUGUAGCCAAGCAAGCCACUGGAGGAGCAGUAAAAGUCAGUCAGUUCCUAGUGGAUGGGGUCUGUGCUAUAGCAAGUUGUGUUGGGAGAGAGCUGGGGCCACACGUGAAGAAACAUGGCAGCAAACUUAUCCCUGAAUCUCUAAAGAAAGACAAAGAUGGGAAAUCUCCAUUUGAUGGUGCCAUGGUGGUAGCGGCCAGUGGAGUACAAGGAUUCGCAACAGUUUGGCAGGGUUUGGAGUAUGCUGGGAAGAACAUUGCCAAGAGCGUGGCCUCAGAGACGGUUCAUACGGUCAAAUACAAGUAUGGAAAAGAUGCUGGUCACGCCACCGACAAUGCAGUCAAUUCUGCUAUCAAUGUCGGGGUGACUGCAUUUAAUAUUGACCACAUAGGUAUAAAAGCAAUAGUGAAAAAAACUGCAAAAGAAGCCAGUCACUCCAUUCUGGAUGAAUACAGACUGAAAGAGAAAGAGGACAAGAAGGGCGAUCCCCACUGACUGAGUCCUCCAGCGUUCUAUGCUGCCUUAACGUGUGACCCUAAACCUCUCGGUGGUUAAUACCGUAAUAUCUGCUUGGUCUGUAAUAGUUUGCUUCUGUAAGUUAAAGUAAAACAUAAGAGCAAACAACGGGCAUGCUAAAAGAAAAAAAAUUCCAUUGCAAAGAUCUAGACAUUAGCAAUAUACUAAAAUAUCGCCUGUUACAAAAACCCAACAAAUCUCCAGUCCAUAAAACAAAGGAUAAUUAUUUUUUUUUGUUUUUAGAUAUUUUUGACUAAUUAAAGAGGUUGUCCGUGAUUUCCUCAGGAUAGGUCAUCAAUAUCGGAUUAGCGGAUUCAGUCCCAAUCCCUGCACCACCGUGUUUGAAGAGGCUGCGGUGCUCUGGUGAUGUUGCAUUCAUUGCUUACGUGGCCUAGGCACAGCUCAGUCCGGGGGGCUAAGCUGCAAUACCAAGCACAGCCACUAUACGGCGCUGUGCUUGGUAAGCUGUGAAGAGGCCACAGCGAUCACCAGAGCACCACGGCUUCUUUAAACAGCUGAUCAGCGGGCUGCGAGGAGUCAGACCCCCACCGAUCAGAUAUUUAUUGAUCACCUCUACUGAGCAUAGGCCACCAGGAUCAAGAUCUUGGAAAUCCCAUUAGGGUCCAUUCACACGUCCACAAGUGUUUGGCAGGAAUAUUCUACCACGUGCCAUAACCCUGGAGAGCAUGUGGCCUGGACACGGUACAGAUGGGGGGGGGGGGUGUAGUGAUUUGGUGCCAGCUUUACAGGUACUACAGAUCAGGAAAAAGAAAAACUAGUCCAGCAAGAUGGAGAAAAGCAAGUCCGAAAUGUAUUCAGUUCUAAAAAAAAACAAAAAACUGUAGUCCAGGGACAUGUUAUAAAAAGUCAGUACAGUAGAUUGAGUUUCCUUAGCACUCGCAACGCAUAAGCUGCUGAUUGGAUCUUUUACAACAUAUCCUAGAACUACAGUUUUAUUGGAUUUAUCAUGCUCUGCUGUGAACACAAGCCAAGCCACAAGAUGGCCACGGAAUAUUUUCAAGACUCAAAAUGCCAGUGGCACCUCUGCAUAAAUGCUGCCCUCUGCAUUCAGCAAAGCAUGCCGCUCAAGACAAACAGUUCCCCUCCGCUCCUGGACUGGGCACACCCAAGUGGUUCCCCUCCGCUCCUGGACUGGGCACACCCAAGUGGUUCCCCUCCGCUCCUGGACUGGGCACGCCCAGGUGGUUCCCCUCCGCUCCUGGACUGGGCACGCCCAGGUGGUUCCCCUCCGCUCCUGGACUGGGCACGCCCAGGUGGUUCCCCUCCGCUCCUGGACUGGGCACGCCCAGGUGGUUCCCCUCCGCUCCUGGACUGGGCACGCCCAGGUGGUUCCCCUCCGCUCCUGGACUGGGCACGCCCAGGUGGUUCCCCUCCGCUCCUGGACUGGGCACGCCCAGGUUAACAAAUAAAUAUUCUGAGCAAUAAUUAUCCACAUGUUUCAGAUUUAACAUAAAACUAGCCUAAAACUGCCAUGGAUGAACUAGAGCGUGCACCAAACCUUUUGGUGUAAUAGUGACAUAUACAGGUACUGUAUACAUAGAGUGUAGUGAAUUUUGUACUUCGGUGGGGUUUGCCUCAUUAAUACUGAAGCUGCAUUUCCUCCUUCAUAAAUCAAAUAUAAGUAAUACAAUAAAUCCAAAGAUAAAUACGUUUAUAAUAACCAAAGGUCCACGGAAAACUAGAAGCCAGAGUGACGACCAGGAUUUGACUUAUUUGCACUACCACAGGGUAUAUACAGUAAUGUGUAAUAAAGGAUAAACUCUAAUAGAAAAUGGAUAUUUAUAUAUUUUGUUGAGUGAUAGUGUAGAAACAGUAAGAGAUUAUUAAAGGAUUAUGUGCAACUUUAAUUCUUCUCUGGAUUU